rnacentral:lncRNA from 1 species
GAACCAGUGGUGACACUGCCACCUCAUCCUCCCACACCCUGAGACUACAGGGUGUGCCACCAAUCCAGCUAUAGGAUAAAAUGAAGGCGUAGAUGGGACUGCGCUCCUUCUGAGGCCUGAAGGAAUAAUCUAUUCCCUUGCCUGCUUCAGCCUUUGAAGACUGAACUCCCGUUCCUUCAGAGCCAGCCACAAAGCCCUUCCCCUCCGCCUUUUCAGACCCCCAAGAAAGAAAAGUUCUUCAGUUUUAAGUACUCAUUAGAUUAGAUACUCGGGCCUUCAUCAUGGGAGCUGAUGUCCUUCUGUGAACCCUAUCUGCCAGGUUUCCUUUGACCUACAUGGUGAAGUUCUCUCCGGUUCUAGGCAUUUCCCCGCAGACUAACAUGGGUGGCCAUUGCGUUUCCCUGAUGUAGUAGGGUAGGGAUCCACUGAUUCUGUGGGAUUCCUCUCUCAGUAACACGGUACUAGGUUUUCAAGAGAUAGUAAAUCUGAGGUUCCCUUGCCCCAUAGAGACCUUUAAAAUGUCGAGGACCAGAAAGGGUAGAGCCUGUGUUUGUUGAGAGCACCCAUUAAAACCUCUCUCUAAACAUCCCUCAAAGGCAAUUCAACUUUAAGCAUUUAUUUAUUUAUUUAUUUUGGAAACAAGCUUCCUAACCCCUCCAGUCUGAUCUAUGUUUUCAUGGGGGGAGGUCUCUUAAAAGUUUGUCUCUUGACUGGGCGGGGCAGAAAGUUUUGAAAAUGUUUUUCUCUCUCCGGUGAUCACAUGUGUGGAUGCAGGUUGAGGAAAGGACUUACCACAUUUGGGACCCUUGGUCGAUGAGCAGGACAAGGCAGAUUUAUCCUUUUGUUUUGUCUUGCCCAACGUGGUUUCUGCCUUCACUUCACCAGCGUGGAUGUCCAGCCUUGUGGCUGGGCCACUCUGAAGGUCCCCGUUACCCUUCAGCAGAAGAGAUAAAACUGUUUCCACCACAGAUGACAACCAGGGUGAGAUGCUGGAUGAGAAAAGGCCAGCUGUCCUUGAACUCCCAGAGAGCUACCAGCCUCAGCCUCUUGAGUGCCGAGAUGCAAGUGUACACCUGCCCCAGCCCCUUCGUUUAUUUUGAAGAUG